rnacentral:rRNA from 1 species
GACGAACGCUGGCGGCGUGCUUAACACAUGCAAGUCGAGCGGUAAGGCCCUUUCGGGGGUACACGAGCGGCGAACGGGUGAGUAACACGUGGGUGACCUGCCCUCAGCUCUGGGAUAAGCCUGGGAAACUGGGUCUAAUACUGGAUAUGACUCCACGGUGCAUGUCGUGGGGUGGAAAGCCUUGUGCGGCUGAGGAUGGGCCCGCGGCCUAUCAGCUUGUUGGUGGGGUGAUGGCCUACCAAGGCGACGACGGGUAGCCGGCCUGAGAGGGCGACCGGCCACACUGGGACUGAGACACGGCCCAGACUCCUACGGGAGGCAGCAGUGGGGAAUCUUGCGCAAUGGGCGAAAGCCUGACGCAGCGACGCCGCGUGAGGGAUGACGGCCUCGGUGUAACUAC